UUUGCAGUUCCAAAUGCUGUAAAGCUUCCAUGCAAGGUGCACAUCGUACAACGGAAAUACCACCACAAAAUGCUUUUGCUGCUACCUGCCUUUUUCGCAGUGUUUUUCAACAGUUUCCCGGCAGGAGUUGAAGCGAAUUUAAGUUUGGGCUUUAAGGCCACUAAGAUUUUGAGGGAACAUAAUCCAG